AAUCAACGCUGGCGGCGUGCCUAACACAUGCAAGUCGAACGAGAAGGUGACUUCGGUCACUGGAUAGUGGCGUCCGGGUGAGUAACACGUAGGUAAUCUACCUUCGGGUGGGGAAUAACGUCUCGAAAGAGACGCUAAUACCGCAUAAUGCAGCGGCACCUAAUGGUGAUUAGUUGUUAAAGCGGGGGAUCUUCGGACCUCGCGCCUGAAGAGGAGCCUGCGGCAGAUUAGCUAGUUGGUGAGGUAAUGGCUCACCAAGGCUUCGAUCUGUAGCUGGCCUGAGAGGACGGCCAGCCACACUGGCACUGACACACGGGCCAGACUCCUACGGGAGGCAGCAGUGGGGAAUUUUGGGCAAUGGGCGAAAGCCUGACCCAGCAACGCCGCGUGAAGGAGGAAAUCCUUCGGGAUGUAAACUUCAUAAGUAAGGGAAGAAAGCUGCGGAUCGAAUAAGUCCGCAGUCCGACGGUACCUUACGUAAGCC
rnacentral:rRNA from 1 species